rnacentral:rRNA from 1 species
AAGUCAACUUGAAUUUGGGUUUUUAACUUAGAUUUGGGUGGCGGACGGGUGAGUAACGCGUAAAGAACUUGCCUCACAGCUAGGGACAACAUUUAGAAAUGAAUGCUAAUACCUGAUAUUAUGAUUUUAAGGCAUCUUAGGAUUAUGAAAGCUAUAAGCACUGUGAGAGAGCUUUGCGUCCCAUUAGCUAGUUGGAGAGGUAACAGCUCACCAAGGCGAUGAUGGGUAGCCGGCCUGAGAGGGUGAACGGCCACAAGGGGACUGAGACACGGCCCUUACUCCUACGGGAGGCAGCAGUGGGGAAUAUUGGACAAUGGACCGAGAGUCUGAUCCAGCAAUUCUGUGUGCACGAUGAAGUUUUUCGGAAUGUAAAGUGCUUUCAGUUGGGAAGAAAAAAAUGACGGUACCAACAGAAGAAGUGACGGCUAAAUACGUGCCAGCAGCCGCGGUAAUACGUAUGUCACGAGCGUUAUCCGGAUUUAUUGGGCGUAAAGCGCGUCUAGGUGGUUAUGUAAGUCUGAUGUGAAAAUGCAGGGCUCAACUCUGUAUUGCGUUGGAAACUGUAUAACUAGAGUACUGGAGAGGUAAGCGGAAUUACAAGUGUAGAGGUGAAAUUCGUAGAUAUUUGUAGGAAGGCCGAUGGGGAAGCCAG